rnacentral:rRNA from 1 species
AUACGGAGGAUCCGAGCGUUAUCCGGAUUUAUUGGGUUUAAAGGGUGCGCAGGCGGCCAUUUAAGUCAGCGGUUAAAUCGUGGGGCUCAACCCCAUUCUGCCGUUGAUACUGGGUGGCUUGAUUGCGGUCGAGGUUGGCGGAAUUCGUUGUGUAGCGGUGAAAUGCAUAGAUAUGACGAAGAACACCGAUUGCGUAGGCAGCUGACCAGACCGCAAAUGACGCUCAUGCACGAAAGUGCGGGGAUCGAACGGGAUUAGAUACCCUGGUAGUCCGCACAGUAAACGAUGAAUACUCGCUGUUUGCGAUACACUGUAAGCGGCCAAGCGAAAGCGUUAAGUAUUCCACCUGGGGAGUACGCCGGCAACGGUGAAACUCAAAGGAAUUGGCGGGG